UACGGAGGGUGCAAGCGUUAUUCGGAAUCACUGGGCGUAAAGGACGCGUAGGCGGGUUGGAAAGUCAGAUGUGAAAUCCUACAGCUUAACUGUAGAACUGCAUUUGAAACUUCCAAUCUAGAGUAUGGGAGGGGGAGAUGGAAUUAGUGGUGUAGGGGUAAAAUCCGUAGAUAUCACUAGGAAUACCGAAAGCGAAGGCGAUCUCCUGGAACAUUACUGACGCUAAGGCGUGAAAGCGUGGGGAGCAAACAGGAUUAGAUACCCUGGUAGUCCACGCCCUAAACGAUGUUCACUAGUCGUCGGGAUGCUAGUCAUCUCGGUGAUGCACUUAACAGAUUAAGUGAACCGCCUGGGGAGUACGGUCGCAAGAUUAAAACUCAAAGGAAUAGACGGGGACCCGCACAAGUGGUGGAGCAUGUGGUUUAAUUCGAAGAUACGCGAAGAACCUUACCUAGCCUUGACAUUGAGAGAACCUGCCAGAGAUGGCGGGGUGCCCUUCGGGGAGCUCGAAAACAGGUGCUGCACGGCUGUCGUCAGCUCGUGUCGUGAGAUGUUGGGUUAAGUCCCGCAACGAGCGCAACCCUCGUCCUUAGUUGCCAGCAGUUCGGCUGGGCACUCUAAGGAGACUGCCUUCG
rnacentral:rRNA from 1 species